GCACCCGUAGUUCAACGGAUAGAAUGACGGCCUCCGAAGCCGUAGAUACAGGUUCGAUUCCUGUCGGGUGCACCA
rnacentral:tRNA from 2 species